rnacentral:rRNA from 11 species
AACUCAAAUGAAUUGACGGGGGCCCGCACAAGCGGUGGAGCAUGUGGUUUAAUUCGAUGAUACGCGAGGAACCUUACCUGGGCUUAAAUGGGAAAUGACAGUUUAGGAAACUAGACCUUCUUCGGACAUUUUUCAAGGUGCUGCAUGGUUGUCGUCAGCUCGUGCUGUGAGGUGUCGGGUUAAGUCCCAUAACGAGCGCAACCCCUAUCUUUAGUUGCCAGCGAGUAAUGUCGGGGACUCUAGAGAAACUGCCGGUGCAAACCGAGAGGAAGGUGGGGAUGACGUCAAAUCAUCACGGCCCUUACGUCCAGGGCUACACACGUGCUACAAUGGCGAGUACAAAGAGCAGCUACUAGGUGACUAGAUGCUAAUCUCAAAAGCUCGUCUCAGUUCGGAUCGGAGUCUGCAACUCGACUCCGUGAAGUCGGAAUCGCUAGUAAUCGUGAAUCAGAAUGUCACGGUGAAUACGUUCCCGGGCCUUGUACACACCGCCCGUCACAUCAUGGGAAUUGGUUCUACCCGAAGACGCUGUGCUAACUUCGGAGGCAGGCGGCCACGGUAGGAUCAGUGACUGGGAUGAAGUCGUAACAAGGUAGCCGUAGGGGAACCUGCGGCUGGAUCAC